AUGCUGGAAUUUCUCUUGUGUGAUAAAUCGACGCUACACAAUUAUGACGACUCGAUAGAGCUUCCAGAGUUGAUAGCUACAGCGAGCUGGUUCGUAUGGUGGCAUCAUAGACAGCAGGUCAGAGGGGAGGAAGUGCAGACGCCAUUGCGAUCUUCGCUAGCCAUCCAUGCAUUGGCUCUUUUUUUGCGGGGGAUCCAUGCAUUGGCUCUUAACUUCACACGAGCGGCAGCGAAACAAACUACUGCACCUAGACGGAACACAUGGCCCAUUGUCUUGGCAGCGCAACAAAUUAUAAACGUUGAUACGUCUUUUAUUGAGGAUCUGCAUACGGGAUCAUGUGGGGCGAUAGUUAGAGACCAUAGAGGUAAUUUCAUUGUUGCUUCUACUUCUCGCCUUGACCAUGUGGCAGAUGUCAUCUCUGCGGAAGCGGCGACACUACUUGAAGGUUUAAAGUUACUUCAGAGUAUGGGGUGCAAUAAUGUCUUAGUGAGGAUGGAUAAUUCUGUUGUGGUCGAUGCUAUACAUCUGAAUGAGGGACAUUCUAUGAUGGCGGCUCCAGUUUUAGAUGAUUGCAGAGAGUUAUUACGAGAGUUCAGGAAGGUUACUAUUGAGCACUGUAAUAGAGAAUCAAAUGUAGUUGCUCAUGAGCUAGCUGAGUGGGGGCGUGUAAACACCCCUUCUUUAUGGGUGGAUGCACCUCCAGUUACUAUUGCUAAAUUUUUAGCAGACGAUGUAAGCAUUAUUUGA
rnacentral:rRNA from 1 species